rnacentral:rRNA from 1 species
AGUGAACGCUGGCGGUAGGCCUAACACAUGCAAGUCGAACGGCAGCACAGUAAGAGCUUGCUCUUACGGGUGGCGAGUGGCGGACGGGUGAGGAAUACAUCGGAAUCUACUUUUUCGUGGGGGAUAACGUAGGGAAACUUACGCUCAUACCGCAUACGACCUACGGGUGAAAGCAGGGGAUCUUCGGACCUUGCGCGAUUGAAUGAGCCGAUGUCGGAUUAGCUAGUUGGCGGGGUAAAGGCCCACCAAGGCGACGAUCCGUAGCUGGUCUGAGAGGAUGAUCAGCCACACUGGAACUGAGACACGGUCCAGACCCCUACGGGAGGCAGCAGUGGGGAAUAUUGGACAAUGGGCGCGAGCCUGAUCCAGCCAUACCGCGUGGGUGAAGAAGGCCUUCGGGUUGUAAAGCCCUUUUGUUGGGAAAGAAAAGCAGCAGGUUAAUACCCCGCUGUUCUGACGGUACCCAAAGAAGAAGCACCGGCUAACUUCGUG